CUACGGGUUGCAGCAGUGGGGAAUCUUCCGCAAUGGGCGAAAGCCUGACGGAGCAAUACCGCGUGAGGGAUGAAGGCCUUCGGGUUGUAAACCUCUGUUGUUUGGGAAGAACGGCGAUGCGUCGAAUAGGCGUGUCGUUUGACGGUACCAGACGAGUAAGCCCCGGCUAAUUACGUGCCAGCAGCCGCGGUAAUACGUAAGGGGCGAGCGUUGUCCGGAUUCACUGGGCGUAAAGGGCGCGUAGGCGGUCUGGUCAGUCAGAGGUGAAAGCUCCGAGCUCAACUCGGAAAUGGCCUUUGAAACUACCAGGCUUGAGUGGUUCAGGGGAAAGCGGAAUUCCUGGUGUAGCGGUGAAAUGCGUAGAUAUCAGGGAGAACACCCGUGGCGAAGGCGGCUUUCUGGGGACCAACUGACGCUGAGGCGCGAAAGCUAGGGGAGCGAACAGGAUUAGAUACCCUGGUAGUC
rnacentral:rRNA from 1 species